rnacentral:misc_RNA from 1 species
GGUCGAGAGCAGUGACACCAUCGACAACGUUAAAGCUGAGAUUCAGGUACUUUUAUUUUCCUUUUUUCUUGUAUAUAUGGCCUUUUGGGUGUGUUUGUUUUUGAUGGAGAACUGUCUUUUCAAGAAUGUUUCUGGGGAUACCUUUUAUUAGCCUUUUUGGGUUUGUGUAUAUAAUUUUUUUUUUAAAGGAGUUUGUGUAUAUAAUUUUUGUUGCCAGAAGAAAAAUAUAGGGUACGGGGGUGGUUUGAUCAUCGAUUAAUUGUGUUGUUAUUGCAAUUAUCAUAGUAGAAAUUGCGUGUGGCGGAGAACUUGUCAACCUAACAAAAUUGAAUGUUAGCACUCACUAGCGUCAAAAUUCCAUACUCUAUUCUCUCGAACUUUGGCUGCCUAGUUGAAAUUUUGGCCGAUUUAAGCAGGCUGGGAGCAGUUUAAUGAUAGUUUCUUUUCGGAUGUUGUUUUGAGAAUUGAUUUACCUUUUCUUUUUUGGGGAGGGUGGCCUGUGUCUUGUGCUUUUGAGUAUUGAGUAUGGUUGUGUCCUUUCAAGAUAAGGAAGGCGGACCAGCAGAGAUUUAUUUUUGCUGGUAAACAAUUGGAA